rnacentral:rRNA from 1 species
UGGGGAAUUUUGGACAAUGGGCGAAAGCCUGAUCCAGCAAUGCCGCGUGUGUGAAGAAGGCCUUCGGGUUGUAAAGCACUUUUGUCCGGAAAGAAAUCCUUGGCUCUAAUACAGUCGGGGGAUGACGGUACCGGAAGAAUAAGCACCGGCUAACUACGUGCCAGCAGCCGCGGUAAUACGUAGGGUGCAAGCGUUAAUCGGAAUUACUGGGCGUAAAGCGUGCGCAGGCGGUUUGCUAAGACCGAUGUGAAAUCCCCGGGCUCAACCUGGGAACUGCAUUGGUGACUGGCAGGCUAGAGUAUGGCAGAGGGGGGUAGAAUUCCACGUGUAGCAGUGAAAUGCGUAGAGAUGUGGAGGAAUACCGAUGGCGAAGGCAGCCCCCUGGGCCAAUACUGACGCUCAUGCACGAAAGCGUGGGGAGCAAACAGGAUUAGAUACCCUGGUAGUCCACGCCCAUAAACGAUGUCAACUAGUUGUUGGGGGACUUCAUUUUCCUUAGUAACGUAGCUAACGCGUGAAGUUGACCGCCUGGGGAGUACGGUCGCAAGAUUAAAACUC